rnacentral:piRNA from 1 species
UAGCCCAGGGUGUCAUCUGAAGCCUCUC